CUUUUAUUAGAUCAAAACCGGCCCGUCGCGGCGCGCUUCGUGCGCGUCCCGAUCGCGGCCCGCGCAAAGACCUGGUGACUCUGAAUAACUUCGAGCUGAUCGCACGGUCUCCGUACCGGCGACGCAUCUUUCAAAUGUCUGCCUUAUCAACUGUCGACGGUAGGUUCCAUGCCUACCGUGGUGGUAACGGGUAACGGGGAAUCAGGGUUCGAUUCCGGAGAGGGAGCCUGAGAAACGGCUACCACAUCCAAGGAAGGCAGCAGGCGCGCAAAUUACCCACUCCCGGAACGGGGAGGUAGUGACGAAAAAUAACGAUACGGGACUCAUCCGAGGCCCCGUAAUCGGAAUGAGAACACUUUAAAACCUUUAAACGAGGAUCAAUUGGAGGGCAAGUCUGGUGCCAGCAGCCGCGGUAAUUCCAGCUCCAAUAGCGUAUAUUAAAGUUGUUGCGGUUAAAAAGCUCGUAGUUGGAUCUCAGUUCUAGUCGGGCGGUCCGCCUAACGGCGGUAACUGCCCGUUCUGAACAGUCGAGCCGGUUUCCCUUGAUGAUCUUCACCGGUUGUCUCGGUUGACCGGCAAGUUUACUUUGAAUAAAUUAGAGUGCUCAAAGCAGGCGUGACGCCUGAACAAUGGUGCAUGGAAUAAUGGAAUAGGACCUCGGUUCUAUUUUGUUGGUUUUCGGAACACGAGGUAAUGAUUAAGAGGGACAGACGGGGGCAUUCGUAUUGCGACGUUAGAGGUGAAAUUCUUGGACCGUCGCAAGACGAACUACUGCGAAAGCAUUUGCCAAGAAUGUUUCCAUUAAUCAAGAACGAAAGUUAGAGGUUCGAAGGCGAUCAGAUACCGCCCUAGUUCUAACCAUAAACGAUGCCAGCCAGCGAUCCGGCUGUGUUCCUCAAAUGACACGCCGGGCAGCUUCCGGGAAACCAAAGCUUUUGGGUUCCGGGGGAAGUAUGGUUGCAAAGCUGAAACUUAAAGGAAUUGACGGAGGGUCACCACCAGGAAUGGAGCUUGCGGUUCAAUUUGACCCAACGCAGCGAACCCUACCAGGCCAGGACACAGGGAGGAUUGACAGAUUAAGAGCUCUUUCUUGAUUUUGUGGGUAGUGGUGCAUGGCCGCUCUUGGUUCGUGUAGUGAUUUGUCUAGUUUAUUCUGAUAACGGACGAGGCUCUAGCCUACUAAAUAGACGCUCGGAUCAUUCCUAGUCCGGCGUUUCUUCUUAGAGGGACUGGCGGCGUUUAGCCGCACGAGGCAGAGCAAUAGCAGGUCUGUAAUGCCCUUAGAUGUCCUGGGCCACACGCGUGCUACAUUGAAGGAAUCAUCGUGUGCUUUCCCUUUCCGCAAGGAAUGGGUAACCCGUUGAACCUCUUUCGUGCUGGGGAUAGGGGAUUGCAAUUAUCCCCCUUGAACGAGGAAUUCCUAGUAAGCGUGAGUCAUCAUCUCGCGUUGAUUAGGUCCCUGGCCCUUGUCCACACCGCCCGUCGCUAUUACCGAUUGAAUGUCUUAGUGAGGACUUCGGAUUGGCUGUCGAUUUGGCUUUAGGGUCGAGCCGACGUGCCGAAAAGAU
rnacentral:rRNA from 1 species